rnacentral:tRNA from 1 species
GGGGCUGUGGCUCAGCGCUAGAGUGCUUGCCUAGAAUAUGCAAGGCGCUGGGUUCAAUCCUCAGCACCA